GAAACACUUUGUUUUGUUGAUAUCAAAUGUCACUUAUUGUGUUUCUGUGUUUGCAGAUAAAACUCUCAUUGUGCGACAUUUCCCGAGUAAACAAGAGCGGAAAACACCAGUCCACCUCCAACAGUGAUGACGUUAAAGUCCGUAAAAGCUGCUGGGAAAUGUCCGACUGCUGCUGCUGCUGCUGCUCGAUCCGUCCACUGUCCAGACGAGGCGGAGUUCACCCCGAAACAGCCUAUUGGACUGGACGGUCAUGAGAUAUAUACUGUCAAUGAUCAUGACUAGAGGGAACCUUACUUGUGUGUGAAGUUUCUGGCGAGAAGAAAAAGGGGGAUGUUGAACUAACGGUCACCAUGACAAAAAAAAAAAAAAAACACCCCAAAAAAAGCCCAUAUAACUGAAAUUCAACCAGAAUAACGCAUCAUAACCUAAUUGGUGCACUUCAUAAAACUACAAAGUUGGGUUGAAAUAAAGGUUUCUAUACUGAACUAGAUUGAAAACAAAGAAAAAAAGACAAAAAACUAAUGAAAACUAACUGAAAUGAUAUUGUAUACAAAUUAAACUGAAAUAAAAAUAUAUUAUCAACAAG